UACAUGGGGUGCAACCGUUGCUCGGAAUUAUUGGGCGUAAAGCGCGCGUAGGCGGUUACUUAAGUCGGAUGUGAAAGCCCUCGGCUUAACUGAGGAAGUGCACCCGAAACUGAGUAGCUAGAGUACGAAAGAGGGUCGCGGAAUUCCCGGUGUAGAGGUGAAAUUCGUAGAUAUCGGGAGGAACACCGGUGGCGAAGGCGGCGACCUGGGUCGAGACUGACGCUGAGGAGCGAAAGCGUGGGGAGCGAACAGG
rnacentral:rRNA from 1 species